CCUAGUAACACUGAAGCAGGGUGGGUGAAUAACUUCAGAAAAGAAUCUAGUGCACACAAUGUGACUAUGUGAGACAACCCAGGAGCAAUAACAUCAAACAGAGAAACUAUUUACUUACUUGAAGUUCCCUGCCAUUCUUUGAUCUCACCAUGAUGCUGGAGGUACAGUGCAAUUGAGUACGGAGAAUGGCAAACGAAAGUAUCCAGGCCAAAAGGAAAAGAGAAGGAAGAAGAACACAGCACAUAUAACAAAAAGAAAAGAAGAACAAGGAAAAUAGCAGAUCCUUUGCAUUUUCAGCUAUUGGAGUACAGCAGUUUGCUGAAGUUCCUUCCUCCAGUUUUAAAACAAUGCUCACUUUCUUCCAGCUUCCCUAAAUAUAUAGUCAUGUGAAAAAGAAAGAAUACCCCCUUUGAAUUCUAUGGUUUGUUUAUCAGGACAUAGUAAAAAUCAUCUGGUCCUUAGCAGUUCUUAAAAAUAGGUAAAUACAACCUCAGAUGAACAACAUAUGACAUAUUAUACCAUGUAAUCAUUUAUUUUACGAAAAGAAAGCCAAAAUGGAAAAACCAUUUUUCACAUCUGUAUAUUCAGUAUACUUAAAUAAGUAAAUAAUAAAUAAUCUACAAAACUGC